rnacentral:rRNA from 1 species
CGCCUCUUGCUAACAAAGGAAGUACUAGAGGUCCCGCCUGCCCUGUGACCACAAAGUUUAACGGCCGCGGUAUCCUGACCGUGCGAAGGUAGCGUAAUCAUUUGUCUUUUAAAUAGAGACCUGUAUGAAUGGCAUAACGAGGGUUUAACUGUCUCCUUCCCCCAGUCAAUGAAAUUGAUCUGCCCGUGCAGAAGCGGACAUAAAUACAUAAGACGAGAAGACCCUAUGGAGCUUUAGACAAAAGAUCAAACAUGUAAAGAAACCAAAACAACCAAAAGGAACACGAAGGCCACAAAACCCAACGUAAACUGAUC